rnacentral:rRNA from 1 species
AACCUUUACAAUGCACGAAAGUGUGAUAAGGGAGUCCUAAGUGCCUUGCUUUUUGCAAGGCUUUUUUCAAGAGUAAAUAUCUUGGAGAAUAAGUGGUGGGCAAGACUGGUGCCAGCCGCCGGUAACACCGGCGGCCCGAGUGGUAACCGUCUUUAUUGGGUUUAAAGGGUCCGUAGCCGGCUUAUUAAGUCUUUUGGGAAAUCUGGCGGCUCAAUCGUCAGGCGUCCAAGAGAUACUGGUAGGCUUGGGACCGGGAGAGGUGGGAGGUACUCCA